rnacentral:rRNA from 1 species
AACGAGCGCUGGCGGCAUGCCUAACACAUGCAAGUCGAACGAGACCUUCGGGUCUAGUGGCGCACGGGUGCGUAACGCGUGGGAACCUGCCCUUAGGUUCGGAAUAACUCCCCGAAAGGGGUGCUAAUACCGGAUAAUGUCUUCGGACCAAAGAUUUAUCGCCUUUGGAUGGGCCCUCGUUGGAUUAGCUAGUUGGUAGGGUAAAAGCCUACCAAGGGGACGAUCCAUAGCUGGUCUGAGAGGAUGAUCAGCCACACUGGGACUGAGACACGGCCCAGACUCCUACGGGAGGGAGCAGUGGGGAAUAUUGGACAAUGGGCGAAAGCCUGAUCCAGCAAUGCCGCGUGAGCGAUGAAGGCCUUAGGGUUGUAAAGCUCUUUUACCCGGGAUGAUAAUGACAGUACCGGGAGAAUAAGCGCCGGCUAACUACGUG